GUGUGCACGUGCUCAACAAGGUAGCUUUUCAAUGGAAAGGAUGCGUGAUACUGAACACAGGAUUAGGGAGGCUAUCCUUUGUGCACGCGCAUGUGUUUCACGAGGUGGUUUUUCUGCGAGAAGGACGCACUGCAAUGACUGCAGGAGAAGGGACGCUCUCUUGUGUGCACGUGGAUGUGUCUGACGAGGUGGUUUUUCUGCAAGAAUGAUGCACUACAGUGGACACAAAUGAAGGGACGCUCUCCUGUGUGAGUGCGCAUGUGCUUAUCAAGGCUGUUUUUCAUCACAAACGAUGCAUUGCAGUGGGCACAGGAAAAGGGACGCUCUCUUGUGUGCGUCCGCAUGUGCUGAUUUAGUUGGCUUUUCGUCACAAACGAUGCAUUGCAGUGGACACAGGAAAAGGGGCGCUCUCCUGUGUGAGUUCGCACAUGAACCACCAGCUUCGAGUUAUGAAUGAACGCAGCUGGGCACAAGUGACACUGUAAGGGGCGUUCGCCCUUGUGUUU